CUUGAUUAGUACAAGAAAAGAAGGUCGUCUUUGGAAACCGAUGAGGUCGAUAGUUACUUCAACGACGGUAUUGGGGAAUUGAUAUCCCUCGAACGCUUCCCAUCCAUCAAGAAAAUCUUUUUGGAAUGUAACAGUGCGUUGCCGUCGUCAGCCGCUUGUGAGUGGGUUUUCAGCACUGCGGUGCUAGUGUUUACUGCCAAAAGAACCAAUUUAUCGGAUCUUAACUUUAAAAUGUUAGUUUUUCUUAAGAUAAACGGUAAAUAUUGUCAUUUUUGGGCAACUAACCCAUCGAAAACAUCCAAACAGUGAUUUGUGGGAUCAAUUAAUACAAAACAGUGUAAAUUAAAGGUGUUUACGUCAUUAUUGAAAUUUCUGAUCAAACCUUGAUCGAUUGAACGAUCGAUCGAUCAAUUUUAGGACUGCUCGAGAUCGAGAUCGACGUUCACUUUUCUGUGAUCGAACGGCAUCUCUGCUUUAGCCCCUCCCUAGUUGUUAGCGUGAUGGUGUCAUGGCGAGUGGUUGAUCGUGCGUCGCGUUGCUGAUACGAUGAACCAAUCCGGUUUCUUUUAUUUAUCUGACUAGGGCUCUUUGUAGUUCGUGCUGAAUGUUAGUUGGUAACUUUAUGUUUAGUCCUAAUACGUUUUCCAUAUUAAAUUGCAGCCUGUUUUGUUUGUUUUUUUAAGAUUUUGUUCAUGUUUAUUCCCUUUUUAUUUCAAAUGCAAGUCAUUUUAAGAUGGUAUGCUCACUGAUUUCUCUUUCCUCAAAAUGUAGAAAAUCUUGGUCUAGCUGGUUAUGGAAUUUGGUAUGGUUCACUGUUAGUCUAUUGAGUAAGUCUAUAGUCCAAAUCUGAAGAGGAGUCUUGUUAUUGGUGUGGAUUUGUGUAGGUGCAAUUUUAGCAAGCCUGUUUGUGUUCUUGCAUGGAUAUUGAGCUUAUCGCUUCCUUGCCUUAAGUCAUUCAUGAUUUUUUUCUUAGGUGAAAUCGCAAUAUGGUUUCUUGCUCUGUUUCUGACAGUCUGUUGUGAACUAUGUUGCUAGGAGCAAGAGACUCCUUGGCUGAUAGUUGGUUUGCCUUCUCAUUACUAGGGAUUCCCACAUGGCUGGGUAUCAAGUAGAUGGUGAUUUUCGUGCCUGCACUCUUUAGGUUUGAUGCAGUGUUGAUUAUGGAGUAUGUUGUCUGAUGUAUUUUUUUUUCAGGAUGAUUUAAGUGCUUGCAUAACGGUCUUUGAGUUCGUGAAGAUGGCCAGUUUCUCAGUCAAAUCGUCGUGAGCAUAUACAAUUUCCAUGACUCUAAGGAUGGCCUGGGCUUUUGCGGUAAGAAUGAAGUGUGCCUUUCUCCAUCCUCCGGAGACUUGUGACUUGCUGCUGUUUUUAAGCCAGGAACAUUGAGUUUUUCCCAGGUUUCGGGGGCUUUUAUAACAUUUUUUUCAUUGUUAUACAUUUUUUUAUCAGUCUCCUGUUCUAUUCUAAUAAGGUAUCGGUUAGCUGAUAUGAUUCUUCUAGCUUCCAUAGGGUCCAGGGCAAGCUCACAUUGGCAGUUAUUCUGAGUAUGUGUAAUCUAUUCUCACACAGGAAGUGCGCCCUGUUAAAUUGUUUAUGAGCUAACCCAUAAUUUUUCCCUUAUUCCUAUUUUGCAUAGCUUAAUUAGUAGAUCUUAGAUCCAGGUUGAAUCAAACACUUUGGUGAAAUCGAGGAACACUGAGUAGGAGUCCAUGGGGCUUUGAUGUUUGUCGCUUGGUGUUUUCAAGUGUGCUUCUUCCUCUCCUGAAUCCUGAUUGACUGUUUAGUCUGAUUCUUUUGUUUUCUAGGAACCAGGUGAGUCUUUCAUUCAUUAUUUUUUCCAUAACUUUCCCAAGACCGGAGGUUAUUUAGAUAGGCCUGUAGGAUAUGGGUCAAUUGGUUUGUUCUGUUUUUAUCGGAAUGAUGGUAGCUUGCUUCUAGCGUGCUGGUACGAGUUUUCUUUGUAGAACACGAAUCAUGGGGUAAAGGAGGUAAUUCUUGUUGGUAGGUGAAAGAUUUUAAAAAACAUGUUGUGAAUUUGAUCCUUUCCCAUGGCUUUGCUUUUUAGGUUCUCCAGUCCAUAAUCUGGUUUUUUUUAUGAUUGGUGAAUUUAGCGCAUGGGGUCUUCUGGAUUUGAACUGUCUAUCAUGAGCAAUUCGUAUCGUGGGUCACCAGUUAUCUUUUUAAUAGUUAUAUUGUUUUGCGAAUAUUUCGGCCUUGUCUUUUUUGGCUAGGACGAUUUUGUUGUUGCAUGGAUUUCUUACGGACAAGGAGUUGUAGUCUGAUGUGGGAGUCCCUGUUAACAUGCUUUUAACAAAUGUCCAAUUUUCGUAAUAGGAUCCUUUGGAUUUAGGUGUCUCCAGAUGGACUUGUUAGUGGCGCAGCAUAUACAGCCUUUCUUGUGAUCACAUGUAUUUUUUCCCUUCUGGCAUUGGCUACAUUACAUUUACAUUGGCCUAACAUUUCUCGUUCCUCCAUGGGCAAAGAUGUCCUGUGUUUUUCUGACUGACUGGGUUUGGAUGUUUUAAUCUUACUGGGUUCUCUGGCUUCUAUCAUCACUUCGUGAAAUAUAUGGUACAUUGUUUCUGGGUUACGCGUAUUGCAAAAUUCACUGGCGUUAAUCUUGCAGCUUGAUUGCUCGCUCACUCCAGUCUGCAACCUUGAAGAUCCAGCUGAAAGCACGGUGUUUAAGUGUCAUAAGGCCUUCUUGAGAAAACGUGUUUUUUAAUCUUAGCAUUAUAAUAAGUGCAAAUUUUUGCAUAAGUGUAAUUUUUCAUAUGUAGGGUCGUGGCCCAUUGCAGUUCAGGUGGCCUUUUCCCACAACUCUUGGUGUCACAUUUUUGCAAGUAAUGAGUCACUAAAUCAGUAAAGUCCUUUUUUCAUGUGUGUUAAUUCUCUCAUGCGAGGAACAACUUUCUCCAGGAAGGUCACCACUGUAGAACGUUGGGACACAAACUUCUAAGGGUUUUCACCUUGUCACUAUAUUCUAAAUUCCUGCUGAGUGACACGUUUCAACAAAUAUCCACAGGCUUGGACUAAUGCAGCGUUUUUAAAUCCAGGAAGUGGGUAGGCUAGAAAUAAACAGUUAGAAACACUUCA